GGAGAAACGAAACCUAGGGAGCGAGGGCUUCGGCGCUGUCCGUCGCCGGCGUGCGUAACGUUGACGCGUGACGCCAGCCCGGCCUUGAAGCGCGUGCGCAAUGUGGCUUUCAGGACCCUCGGGCCGCGGUCUGUCGACGUUCCGCGGCAGCGCGGCCUGGAGAAAUCUGUCUGAGGGGCGCCUGCGUGGCUCAGUUAAGCAUCUGCCUCCGGCUCAGGGCGUGAUCCUGGCGUUCUGGGAUCGAGCCCCACAUCAGGCUCCUCCGCUGGGAGCCUGCUUCUUCCACUCCCACUCCCCCUGCUUGUGUUCCCUCUCUCGCUGGCUGUCUCUUUCUCUGUCAAAUAAAUAAAUAAAAUCUUAAAAAAAAAAUCUGAGUAUAGCUUCUAACAGUAAAAAAAAAAAAAAAAGAUAAGAAAAAGGUAUUGAUGGGCAAGUGUGACUAUUAAGUAUACUCUAUGUGUAUUGUAAAUAUACUGUGGCAAACAAAUGACUAAGAAGAUACUUGUUACUUCAAGAAGCUUACAAACUAGUGGAGUAUACAGGGUUGUAAAUAAUUUAAACAAAAUAUAAGCAGAUGAAAAAAGUAUGCCAAAAGAACAGUACAAAAUAAGUGCUAAUAGAAUACAGUCUUUUGGAUAUUAUUGUAUUUAUUGUGGCAUUAGCUCACCUUUGUUUCCCAUUUUUAUCAUCAAACACUGGCUUUUUGCAGGAUGGUGGUUUCAUUGUCAGUCUUGUGUUUGACAGAUUUAGAUUCUGUUUAAAAAACUGGUGUAGAAUGCAUUGAAUAUGCUAAGUAAAUGCAGAGCUUAUGAACCAAAGGACCUAUUAAUUAACAUUGAGCCAACAAGUACUGUGUAAUACUUACAGCUCUAUCUGCUGGGAUAUAUGACUUAGGCCGACACUAGGCCAUUAAGCCAUACUUCUUUCCCUUAUAGUCCCUCUCCAGUAGACGGAUGUUUUUGAUUUCUUAGGCGGCGUUAGAACACAGAAUGUGGGGGGGACUGUUUAUAAUUUGUAUAUUCGGUGAGGAUAUUUCUUCAAUUUAAAGAUCCUCUAUCAAAGUGUGUUAUGCUUUAGUGCAAGAAGAUACAGUAUUUUAUAGUGGAGGCACGGCGCUGUCUGAGCAGAUGAGACAGGAAUCUAGUUUAGAGACAUGCCAGGUUGAACUCUAGUUCAGUUUCAGCAUUGAGCUGAAUAGAGGCUAAGCAGUCAGGUACACCACAGUUACCAAGCAGUAUGGUGAUAAGUGUUAGUUGGUGGCCUGUAAAGGUGAUUUGGUACCCCCGAAGUGCAUGUCUUAGCAAGAGUGUGAGAUCUGGAUGGAAGGUGUAUUUGGCAGUCCUUGUGGG
rnacentral:lncRNA from 1 species